rnacentral:rRNA from 1 species
AUUGAACGCUGGCGGCAGGCCUAACACAUGCAAGUCGAGCGGAUGAAGGGAGCUUGCUCCUGGAUUCAGCGGCGGACGGGUGAGUAAUGCCUAGGAAUCUGCCUGGUAGUGGGGGAUAACGUCCGGAAACGGGCGCUAAUACCGCAUACGUCCUGAGGGAGAAAGUGGGGGAUCUUCGGACCUCACGCUAUCAGAUGAGCCUAGGUCGGAUUAGCUAGUUGGUGGGGUAAAGGCCUACCAAGGCGACGAUCCGUAACUGGUCUGAGAGGAUGAUCAGUCACACUGGAACUGAGACACGGUCCAGACUCCUACGGGAGGCAGUAGUGGGGAAUAUUGGACAAUGGGCGAAAGCCUGAUCCAGCCAUGCCGCGUGUGUGAAGAAGGUCUUCGGAUUGUAAAGCACUUUAAGCUGGGAGGAAGGGCAGUAAGUUAAUACCUUGCUGUUUUGACGUUACCAACAGAAUAAGCACCGGCUAACUUCGUG